rnacentral:rRNA from 1 species
GACGAACGCUGGCGGCGUGCUUAACACGUGCAAGUCGAGCGGUAAGGCCCUUUCGGGGGUACACGAGCGGCGAACGGGUGAGUAACACGUGGGUGACCUGCCUUUAGCUCUGGGAUAAGCCUGGGAAACUGGGUCUAAUACCGGAUAUGACCCUAUGGCGCAUGUUGUGGGGUGGAAAGCCUUGUGCGGCUAGGGAUGGGCCCGCGGCCUAUCAGCUUGUUGGUGGGGUGAUGGCCUACCAAGGCGACGACGGGUAGCCGGCCUGAGAGGGCGACCGGCCACACUGGGACUGAGACACGGCCCAGACUCCUACGGGAGGCAGCAGUGGGGAAUCUUGCGCAAUGGGCGAAAGCCUGACGCAGCGACGCCGCGUGAGGGAUGACGGCCUCGGUU